GGGGCUUCACAGAGGAGAACACUUCUUGGAGCCCACAAGGCAGCAAAAGCAACAAGGGACCCUAACAGCAUCUUUCUGCUCUUUUUAUCUUAUUCAGACUACUUAGGGUUGGCAGUACCCACAUUCUGAAUCCGGGCAUCCUUGAGCCUAGCAUCAUUCUUUUUUGAGACAGGGUCAGCCAUGCAGUUGAAGCUGUCCUUGAACUCACUAUGUAGCCCAAACUGAGCUUGAACUCCCAGCAAUUCUCCCCUCAGCCUCUUGAGUACUGGGAUUACAGGCAUGUACCAUCACCCCCAAUUUGAGCUUAGCACUGUACUGUGAAUCAGUUCUAGGUUCACACUCUCUAGAUCCAGCUGCCUCUGAAGAAGCCCCACCUGUGACUGCUUGAGGCUUUGAGAGGCCACCUAGACACAAACCAUAACCAACAGCAAAGGCACCAGGGACGCUGCUGGGAGCUGACACCACACACCACCACUGUGAGAGGUCAUCAGGACCAGCCAUGAAGAAAACCACGCUUGGCAGAUGGUUGUUUACCCAGAGCUGUGCUCUGGCCCUGUGUUACUGGGUUAGAGUCAGCUGCCCAAACACGUCCCUACAGAAAGCCAGGAACUCGGAGCACCACUUUAGAAUUCAAUUCCUUGGAGUUAUGUUCCCCUUGUUAAGAGGUGAACAUCUCUGUCAUGAGAGACGAACCAAUUUUCUUUUUCCCUGCUGGAGCUUCCAUUUGAGAGCCACACCCCUCCACAAGAGAAGCAGAAGUAAAAUAUGAGGAAAUCAGGCCGGUUGGGAACUUCCCUUCAACUCUCUCAAGACCAGUGAAGGGCACUGGCUCCCAGGAGAGUCCUCACCCAGCAGGUAGCCUGUGCUAGCUUGGGCUGUGGGUUGUUCUGAUGUUUUUGGCACUCUUAAGGCAGAGUCCAUGGGGCUCGGUUACAGACAUAGUUCAGAGAGUUUGGAAGCUGUAACUGUCACAUCUAGGCCCAGAGCAGGAAGACAGGGUCUCAAGCAGGAGCUGCGGGGACUUCUGGGACCAGGGACCAGCGUGCUGGCUUGACAGGCCUUCAAGGCAGGACUGAAGGCAGGGAUGCGGGGGGAAGGUGGCCUGCACCCUGAAAUGUUCCCUGCCUGGGCUCAGCGAGGCCUGGCAUUCCUUUAACCUGGAACAGAGGAAACAGUAGGCUUGAAAUGGGAGGGAAGCCCCAAGGAGGAGGAGGGGAGGGAGGAGAGGAGGCGAGGAGAGCCAGGGGCCGGGCAUCAGUGCGCGCCUCGGAUGCACCGCCGCCUCGAAGUGCGGCACUGCCCCCUGCUGGCCGCGGCGGGCAUGGUGCGCCGGAACCCAGCAGGGCUCCAGGCCUCUCCGCUGUGAAGUGGAGAAGCCCGACGUGAGUCCUCUCCAUCGCCUCCUGAAACACACCUGGGCUCUUUCGGACUCGAAAAUAAACAGGUGCCUCGAUUUCCCCAGCCAGCGCACACUGGCUUUCAGGUCCAGAGAAGAAUGGUUUAGAGCUGUGCCACCCGCCGGGCCCCCCAUGGACCCAUUUGGAGGGUCACAGCCUGGCUCGCUGCAGCUGGGCUGCGCUGGGCUGGGCAAUGUCUCCUCUCCUCCUGGCCCCGGGAGGGACGGUUCCCUCUGGCACCCUAGGGACCUGCUGCCCCCUGAGUCACGCCCGAACCCCACCUCUGCAAAAGGGGCACAGCAGAGGCCUGGGUUUACCCGGCGGGAUGACGCACAGCUCCAGGCUGGAGCUCUGGUUGCCUGGUACUGUGUGUGUACAGAGGCGCCACGCUUCAGGGACCUUCUCUCCUGCGAAACUCCUGACGUCAGGCCCAGUCUCUCUCUCCUCCCCUGACGUCUUCCUCAGGGUCUGUACCCACUUCCUUUGAAAACCUCCCCAGCGAAUCGAAGCGUGGCCCCAGUCCAGGUGCUGUUGGGUGAGGAGGGAGCAGAAGGGAGGGAACUUUCCCAGCACGGCCCUACGGGGACCUGUGUAUUAAAUUCCUCCCUGGGGAGAGGCUGGAAGAUGUUUCCGGGUUUAUUGACCUUUCUCAGUGGCACAGUGAGAAAUCUGGGUCUGAAUUCAGAGGAUGACAAGGGCUAGCAUAGCCAGGUUUUGUGGGGCUGUUUAUUUAUGUAUUUAUUUAUUUAGUCUUUUUGAGACAGGGACUUGCUAGUAGUAGAGGCUGACCUUUAACUCACAGCAAUCAUCCUGCCUCAGUCUCUCAAAUGCUGGGAUGACAGGCGUGCACCACCAUGCCUGACCAUAUUCAGUUUUGGAAGCAAAUCAAAUGCAACUCAUUCUUGUGACACAGAGUUCUUGAAGAUUCCUUCACCUAUCUGGGUCAGAGAGAAGAGCGAGUGACUCAGGAUGAGGAAAGAAUUGAGUCUGGAGAUCUGUUCAGUUUGGUACUGGGAUGACAAUAAGGACCCACAGUCAGAGUGACUGACGCUCUCUGCAAACUCCAUUCUGCGGGGCCUUUGCUGGGGAGCCACAUUGAUGGAGCAGCCCUCGCCGCUGUGGCGCAUGCGCAUGGCGCCGUGAGAGAGCAUCUUGGUGCAGACGGCGCUAGCUCUGGCCUCCUUUUGUUCCCUGGGCCUUCGGUUCACAGCUCUCCCUGCUGUUCAGGGCAAAAAGCACUGUGCAUGCAGAAGGUCCACGUGUGAAUAUGCCAAGUACAAAGAUGUGAGAGUGAUCACACCAUGUACAGGAGGAUCACAGCCACUGAAAAUCAGGUUGAAGAAUACAUCAUAAAAUGGGAUCAGGUCGAUUCUUUCUUUGUCUGUACAAGUAAUACAAAGCCACAUUUGUAAAGGAAAAAAAAAUAAAAAUUCAAACAUCAAGAUAAGCUGGGCCUGGUAUGCCUACCUGUAAUUUAGGCCCUCUGGGAGGCUGAAGCAAGAAGAUCAAAAGAUUGAACCUAGCCAGAACAAUUUAGGGAGAAUUUAAAAAAAAAAAAAAAAAAAAAAGGCUGCCAUGUAGGUCCUGGGUUCUAUGUCCAGUACAGGGGACAAAAAAAUAACAUACUAAUGCUCUUUAUCUUUUGAGUGGCUGAGCUAUGGGUACCAGUGUUUCUGGGGCAGACUGCCUGGGAUUCUUGUAAUUCACAUGUAAUCAACCACUCUGCCUUGGUCUCCAGGUUUCUCAGGGAUAAUAAUAGUACCAACUCAUAUCACACAGCUAGUCAAGGAAAACUCUGAAAUAGAAGCCCUCAGAAAUGAAAAGAAAAAAGUUACUUGUAAAGCAUACAAGAGAGUCAGAUUUCAGGACUGUGCCUCCAAAUAUGAAAGCGUAGUAAUAGCUCUGAAAACUGACAAAACCUGCAAAAUUACCAAGACCACUAUCAUAGUAAUCUUGGCAUUGAAUGGUGGCCAUCAAAAGAUAUGCCCAUGAUCAUGCAUGGGCUGCUGGGGGGAGAUCCAGAUGCCAGCCUUUUCCAGUGAGUUGGCAUCAUUCGUGGAUUGUAGGAGAAGAGAACAAGAAGCAAGUCCUCCCUGUGAAUCAGCACCAUGCAUGUGCCACUGGAGAAAGAACCGGACCCCACCCCUACCUGUGCAUGGACUGGGAGAUAAGAAGAGCCAACCCCCCCACCAUUCACCAUAAUCAACCAGCUGAUCCAGAGAAACACAGGCCGUAAUGGUGGCUAUUGAGGUAAAAUACAACUUAAUGCUCAUAGUGUUUAGUGUUUCACUGACUUUGCAGGCCUAAAGCCAAGAGUCUGACCAUCUAUUCAGAGGAUCAUAAUAUGCAUUGUAGCAUCUAUGGGAGAUCUCCUUCUGAGGGUGGUGGGCAUUGUUAAUUCCUUAUUAAUCUUGUUUUGAAGUUCUGUAUCAUUUUCAUUGUUUUGUUGGGUUGGGUUUUAUUCUGUUCUGUCUUGUUUGAUUUUAUCAUGUCCAAUGGCAUGGACAGCUAUUUCAAAGAUAACAAGGUAUACUACUGUAGCCAUUUUGGAUUCACUAUUAUCUUCUUUUGAAGUCCUUUACUGUGUUAUUAUUUUGUUUUUAUUGCUUCUAUUCUGUUCUCUUUUGUUUGAUUUUUACUAUGUCUAAAGGUUGCUGCAGCUAUUUUGAAGACAACAAGAGGCAUUACGUUAACCAUUGUUGAUUUCCUAUUAUCUUGUUUUGAAGUCCUGUAUCACUUUUGUUUUGAUUGGCUUUGUUCUGUUUUAUUUUGCUUGGCUUUACUGUCUUUAAAAUAAAAAUUACCAAAAAAAGAUAUGCCCAUGCUGUUAC